rnacentral:rRNA from 1 species
GACAGAGGGUGCAAACGUUGUUCGGAAUUACUGGGCGUAAAGCGUGCGUAGACGGCUAUCUAAGUCGGGUGUGAAAGCCCCCGGCUCAACUGGGGAGGGUCAUUCGAUACUGUUCGACUCGAAGGCAGGAGAGGGAAGUGGAAUUCCGGGUGUAGCGGUGAAAUGCGUAGAUAUCUGGAGGAACACCGGUGGCGAAGGCGGCGUUCUGGACUGCAACUGACACUGAGGAACGAAAGCCAGGGGAGCAAACGGG